rnacentral:rRNA from 1 species
AGCGAACGCUGGCGGCAGGCCUAAUACAUGCAAGUCGAGCGGCCACUUCGGUGGCAGCGGCGGACGGGUGAGUAACGCGUGGGAAUAUGCCCUUUGGUACGGAACAACUGAGGGAAACUUCAGCUAAUACCGUAUGUGCCCUUCGGGGGAAAGAUUUAUCGCCAUUGGAGUAGCCCGCGUUGGAUUAGGUAGUUGGUGAG